UACGUAGGGUGCGAGCGUUGUCCGGAAUUAUUGGGCGUAAAGAGCUUGUAGGCGGUUUGUCGCGUCUGCUGUGAAAUCUCAAGGCUCAACCUUGAGCUUGCAGUGGGUACGGGCAGACUAGAGUGUGGUAGGGGAGACUGGAAUUUCUGGUGUAGCGGUGAAAUGCGCAGAUAUCAGGAGGAACACCGAUGGCGAAGGCAGGUCUCUGGGCCACUACUGACGCUGAGAAGCGAAAGCAUGGGGAGCGAACAGG
rnacentral:rRNA from 1 species